CGGAGGAUCCAAGCGUUAUCCGGAACCAUUGGGUUUAAAGGGUCCGUAGGCGGUUUUGUAAGUCAGUGGUGAAAGCCCAUCGCUCAACGGUGGAACGGCCAUUGAUACUGCAAGACUUGAAUUAUUAGGAAGUAACUAGAAUAUGUAGUGUAGCGGUGAAAUGCUUAGAUAUUACAUGGAAUACCAAUUGCGAAGGCAGGUUACUACUAAUGGAUUGACGCUGAUGGACGAAAGCGUGGGGAGCGAACAGGAUUAGAUACCCUGGUAGUCCACGCCGUAAACGAUGGAUACUAGCUGUUCGGAGCAAUCUGAGUGGCUAAGCGAAAGUGAUAAGUAUCCCACCUGGGGAGUACGUUCGCAAGAAUG
rnacentral:rRNA from 1 species